AACGAACGCUGGCGGCAGGCUUAACACAUGCAAGUCGAACGCAUCCUUCGGGGUGAGUGGCAGACGGGUGAGUAACGCGUGGGAACGCGCCCUUCAGUUCGGGAUAACCCAGGGAAACUUGGGCUAAUACCGGAUACGUGCGAGAGCAGAAAGAUUUAUCGCUGAAGGAUCGGCCCGCGUCUGAUUAGCUAGUUGGUGGGGUAAUGGCCCACCAAGGCGACGAUCAGUAGCUGGUCUGAGAGGAUGAUCAGCCACAUUGGGACUGAGACACGGCCCAAACUCCUACGGGAGGCAGCAGUGGGGAAUAUUGGACAAUGGGCGCAAGCCUGAUCCAGCCAUGCCGCGUGAGUGAUGAAGGCCUUAGGGUUGUAAAGCUCUUUCGUCCGGGACGAUAAUGACGGUACCGGAAGAAGAAGCCCCGGCUAACUUCGUGCCAGCCGCCGCUUAA
rnacentral:rRNA from 1 species